rnacentral:lncRNA from 1 species
UCAUGGUGCCCCGGGGGGCUGCUCCAGCCGAGCCCCAGGUGCUCAGCCACAUCCACUACCACCACCACCAGCACCACCACUACAGGCGGGACGCCGAGUGUCCCCCUGGGCGAGCCGGCCAGGGGCCGGGGCCACGCAGAUCCCGCUACUCCGGGGCCAAGGUUGCUUUCCACGGUGGUCGUACACAAAAGAGGACUGAGAAAAGCCAUCACUCUCAGCAGCCUCUGGAAAGCGGUGCCGUGCUGCAGGAGGCAUCUCCAGCAGGACAGCCAGCCUGUCCCCAGGAAGGCUGGGACCCCCCUCACGCCCCCUCCACUUCUCCAAACAGGUUGGACGUCAGUGUAGAUGCCAACAGACAAUUGGGAGCAGCUGGCACACCCCCUGUCACGCUGGCCCCCAGACACAGCUUACAGAGCAGGCAUCACCGAAGGAAAAGAAAGUGUCCCCUGGUGCCCGACCCUGCUCUCCUGCCCAAGGACUCAGCCAAGCCCAGAGCCUGCGACACUCACCUCCCUCCCGGCCAUCCCUACCGCUGCUGUCCCGAAGCCCAGCCCCUGAUCCCAAGCGCUCCCAUGCCCGCCGGCUCCCGGCCGCUCUGGAAGUGUUUGGUGCCACAGCCCAGCUCCGAGCUGAGGAAGCAGGAGGAGGGGUUGUCAGGACAGGAGAAAAACCGCUCGGUUCCUGCAGAUUUCUCAGGGAUGGGCACCUCCAGACACGGUCUGAGUGUCCACCUUCACUGCCCAUCUCAGAAGGGUGGUCAGGGAGCACUGACUGCAGGAGCAUUCCAGAGCUCACCUGUGAGGAUGAUGGCCUGAAUGAUGAGCAAGUGUGUUAAAGAGUUCACCAAACCCUAAAAUGCUGCAACUGAGAAAUAAGGUGGCUAAUUUUAAUUAAACAUCUCUAGCAGCUGGAGUAUAUCCCAAAGGAAGGCAUGGGAGCGCAUUUUUCAGUGUCCUUGCACCAGUCUGGGUGUCUUAUUGGCAGACUCGUUACCACUAAAGCUUUCUGGGCUCCAGUUUUAGCCAAGCCCAGGUAACUGGAAUCAGUGAGAAAGGAAGUGUGUGUGGCCCGGGGUAGUAGAACAGACUAAUUGAGUUGCUGGAUUUGCACAUCCCUCAUUUCUCACCUGCCUCUGUUGCGUGGGAGUUGCUUUUUUAGUGUCUUUUGGAAAUCAGAUGUAAUUAAAGUUUGGCCCUCAGCCUAACUGCUGCACGUCUCUCACAAAGAGAGGGAAAAUGCCUUUGAGACAAGUGUCUUUGAAGGAACCUGAGUUUAGCUCCCAGGUCUUGCUCUCUCAGGUCCUCUGAAGGCAGCAAACUCUGAGUCAGCAGGGGCAGGCACUGGCUGGGAGCAGAGCCUGGCUCCCUUCCUCUCCCUGCCACUGACUCAUUGCAGGUCCUCGGGCAAAUCCUUUUGAUUUAGGUACCAAACACAGAUCUGGCUGUCUAAUUUCUGUUAAAACACUGGCCUUAAACUCAUGACUCACUGUGCCCAUUGUGCUGCAGAGAUAAUAACUUCCUCCCCGUGCUUGUCUAUCCAGCCCCACCCCACGCCCAGGCUCCUGGUGCUGAGGAGGCAGUGGGGCAGGGGAGGCUGGAUGGGCACGGGCCUGGCUCCCUGCAGCCUUCUGGCCUCCCAGACCCCCAGGAACAGAUACUUUUCCCAGGUGCAGGAGUGCCUGACACUGCAGAUAGGUGAUAGGGAGGUUCUUGCAAGGCCUGGAGGGAUGCUGGUGUUUGGAGAGAUAAGGAGGCAUCAGGGCAAUGAUGUCUCUGGUUGCAGGGAGCUCUGAGUGCCCUCCCAGGGUACACCACA